UUAAGCGACUAAGCGUACACGGUGGAUGCCCUGGCAGUCAGAGGCGAUGAAGGACGUGCUAAUCUGCGAUAAGCGUCGGUAAGGUGAUAUGAACCGUUAUAACCGGCGAUUUCCGAAUGGGGAAACCCAGUGUGUUUCGACACACUAUCAUUAACUGAAUCCAUAGGUUAAUGAGGCGAACCGGGGGAACUGAAACAUCUAAGUACCCCGAGGAAAAGAAAUCAACCGAGAUUCCCCCAGUAGCGGCGAGCGAACGGGGAGCAGCCCAGAGCCUGAAUCAGUGUGUGUGUUAGUGGAAGCGUCUGGAAAGGCGCGCGAUACAGGGUGACAGCCCCGUACACAAAAAUGCACAUGCUGUGAGCUCGAUGAGUAGGGCGGGACACGUGGUAUCCUGUCUGAAUAUGGGGGGACCAUCCUCCAAGGCUAAAUACUCCUGACUGACCGAUAGUGAACCAGUACCGUGAGGGAAAGGCGAAAAGAACCCCGGCGAGGGGAGUGAAAAAGAACCUGAAACCGUGUACGUACAAGCAGUGGGAGCACGCUUAGGCGUGUGACUGCGUACCUUUUGUAUAAUGGGUCAGCGACUUAUAUUCUGUAGCAAGGUUAACCGAAUAGGGGAGCCGAAGGGAAACCGAGUCUUAACUGGGCGUUAAGUUGCAGGGUAUAGACCCGAAACCCGGUGAUCUAGCCAUGGGCAGGUUGAAGGUUGGGUAACACUAACUGGAGGACCGAACCGACUAAUGUUGAAAAAUUAGCGGAUGACUUGUGGCUGGGGGUGAAAGGCCAAUCAAACCGGGAGAUAGCUGGUUCUCCCCGAAAGCUAUUUAGGUAGCGCCUCGUGAAUUCAUCUCCGGGGGUAGAGCACUGUUUCGGCAAGGGGGUCAUCCCGACUUACCAACCCGAUGCAAACUGCGAAUACCGGAGAAUGUUAUCACGGGAGACACACGGCGGGUGCUAACGUCCGUCGUGAAGAGGGAAACAACCCAGACCGCCAGCUAAGGUCCCAAAGUCAUGGUUAAGUGGGAAACGAUGUGGGAAGGCCCAGACAGCCAGGAUGUUGGCUUAGAAGCAGCCAUCAUUUAAAGAAAGCGUAAUAGCUCACUGGUCGAGUCGGCCUGCGCGGAAGAUGUAACGGGGCUAAACCAUGCACCGAAGCUGCGGCAGCGACGCUGAUGCGUUGUUGGGUAGGGGAGCGUUCUGUAAGCCUGCGAAGGUGUGCUGUGAGGCAUGCUGGAGGUAUCAGAAGUGCGAAUGCUGACAUAAGUAACGAUAAAGCGGGUGAAAAGCCCGCUCGCCGGAAGACCAAGGGUUCCUGUCCAACGUUAAUCGGGGCAGGGUGAGUCGACCCCUAAGGCGAGGCCGAAAGGCGUAGUCGAUGGGAAACAGGUUAAUAUUCCUGUACUUGGUGUUACUGCGAAGGGGGGACGGAGAAGGCUAUGUUGGCCGGGCGACGGUUGUCCCGGUUUAAGCGUGUAGGCUGGUUUUCCAGGCAAAUCCGGAAAAUCAAGGCUGAGGCGUGAUGACGAGGCACUACGGUGCUGAAGCAACAAAUGCCCUGCUUCCAGGAAAAGCCUCUAAGCAUCAGGUAACAUCAAAUCGUACCCCAAACCGACACAGGUGGUCAGGUAGAGAAUACCAAGGCGCUUGAGAGAACUCGGGUGAAGGAACUAGGCAAAAUGGUGCCGUAACUUCGGGAGAAGGCACGCUGAUAUGUAGGUGAAGUCCCUCGCGGAUGGAGCUGAAAUCAGUCGAAGAUACCAGCUGGCUGCAACUGUUUAUUAAAAACACAGCACUGUGCAAACACGAAAGUGGACGUAUACGGUGUGACGCCUGCCCGGUGCCGGAAGGUUAAUUGAUGGGGUUAGCCGCAAGGCGAAGCUCUUGAUCGAAGCCCCGGUAAACGGCGGCCGUAACUAUAACGGUCCUAAGGUAGCGAAAUUCCUUGUCGGGUAAGUUCCGACCUGCACGAAUGGCGUAAUGAUGGCCAGGCUGUCUCCACCCGAGACUCAGUGAAAUUGAACUCGCUGUGAAGAUGCAGUGUACCCGCGGCAAGACGGAAAGACCCCGUGAACCUUUACUAUAGCUUGACACUGAACAUUGAGCCUUGAUGUGUAGGAUAGGUGGGAGGCUUUGAAGUGUGGACGCCAGUCUGCAUGGAGCCGACCUUGAAAUACCACCCUUUAAUGUUUGAUGUUCUAACGUGGACCCGUGAUCCGGGUUGCGGACAGUGUCUGGUGGGUAGUUUGACUGGGGCGGUCUCCUCCUAAAGAGUAACGGAGGAGCACGAAGGUUGGCUAAUCCUGGUCGGACAUCAGGAGGUUAGUGCAAUGGCAUAAGCCAGCUUGACUGCGAGCGUGACGGCGCGAGCAGGUGCGAAAGCAGGUCAUAGUGAUCCGGUGGUUCUGAAUGGAAGGGCCAUCGCUCAACGGAUAAAAGGUACUCCGGGGAUAACAGGCUGAUACCGCCCAAGAGUUCAUAUCGACGGCGGUGUUUGGCACCUCGAUGUCGGCUCAUCACAUCCUGGGGCUGAAGUAGGUCCCAAGGGUAUGGCUGUUCGCCAUUUAAAGUGGUACGCGAGCUGGGUUUAGAACGUCGUGAGACAGUUCGGUCCCUAUCUGCCGUGGGCGCUGGAGAACUGAGGGGGGCUGCUCCUAGUACGAGAGGACCGGAGUGGACGCAUCACUGGUGUUCGGGUUGUCAUGCCAAUGGCACUGCCCGGUAGCUAAAUGCGGAAGAGAUAAGUGCUGAAAGCAUCUAAGCACGAAACUUGCCCCGAGAUGAGUUCUCCCUGACCCUUUAAGGGUCCUGAAGGAACGUUGAAGACGACGACGUUGAUAGGCCGGGUGUGUAAGCGCAGCGAUGCGUUGAGCUAACCGGUACUAAUGAACCGUGAGGCUUAACCUU
rnacentral:rRNA from 1 species